UGGACUAAUUGGAUAUGUGAUAUAUGAUAUGAUACAUUACUAUGUGCACCAUGGCCAGCCUACCAAACAAUCUAUCAAAAAACUUAAGGUAUGAGACUCCUUUUGAAUUGCUAAUUUAUCCUUCCUCAAUCAUUAUCUAUAAAAAUUCAAUUAAAUUAUUGUUUUAGAUUUUUUUUCCCUUAAAUUUGAGGUUUAAUUUUUCACUUGACUUAAUUUAGUUUUUUAUGUUUAUAACGAUAUUAUUUAGUUCAAAUAGUUAGCAUUGUUGAUUAUUCUAGUUAAAAUGUUAAUGUAAUUUUUUUUCUUAAAAAUUCUCCUUUCGAAUUGUUUUUGGUGCUGAAUAGUGUGUUUUUAAGAAAAAUCUACAUUAGUUGGAAUAUAUAAUAAUAUUAACUAUUUGAGCUAACUAAAUAAAAGUAAAGGGAAUAGGGAUUAAAUCCCAAAUUUGAGUAUAAUAAAAGGAUCAAAAAGAGAUUAAUAUAUUAUUUGGUAUUCAAAUUUGGUUUCAAUGUUUAAUUCAGUAUUUGAGUUUAACUUCAAUAUUCAGAUUAGUACUUAAUUUUUUUCCUUUAUCCCAAUUAAGCAUUUAAGUUUGGCUUAAAUGUUCAAUUUGAUAUCCAAAAUUUUCUUUUGGUCCCAAUUACGUACUUAUGUAUUUUUUCACUAGAGCACAUGUGUCAAAUAUUCAUUAGCUGCUGUUUGAUUUUGACAUGAAAACUAAAAUCAGAUACCCAAAAACAGAUUUUAUAAGAGGCUAAACAAAUAGAUGCUUGGUUUGAUUGCAGAAAUAUCACUUGAACCAUCACUUUAGGAUUCAAAACAAGGGCUUUGGCAUAACUACAACAUUGUGGGACAAAGUUUUUGGAACCCUUCCAAAGACCAAAGCAGACACGAAGAGUGGAUAGAUGAUGAUGAUGAGGCUGACAAGCAUCACAUGAUUGCACCCUGUCAUGGCCUUGUCAAUGUUUAAAUAAUGAUUUUGCCCUCUUUACUUUUAUUGUGCUCAAUAAUGGUGGUUGGGAUUGUGAGGGAGGAUCUUAGCUAAGCAACUCACUUCAUGUCUCCUGUUGUACUGUGUUUUCCCUAUAAAUAGAUGAAAUGGAUAGUGUAGUUGUAAUGGUUUAUAAAACUUUAUGAAGGUAAUAAAUUUUAUAAAAUUUUAAAAAUUAUAUUUUUAAAUAAUUUAAUCAUAUUUUUAUUUAAUUUUAAGAAUUAUAUUAAUUGAUUUUUCAAUUUAUCAAACAAUACUGAAUUUAUCAAAUAGGUUUUUCACCUUAUUUAUUGUAAUUAAUUUUAAAUACAAUUAAUUUCAUGAUAUUCAAGAAAACAUGAAAACUUUUCAGUUCAAAUAAUAGGCAUUUCAGUCUAAUUUAUAAUAAAAAAUCAAGUGAAUAUUAACGUGUUAGUAUAAAACACAUAAUAAUUGAAAUAGAUAUUUCUUGAAAAGAAAAAAUAAUAAUAAUAUAAUUUAAAACCUGAUAUAUGAUGUUUAAGAAGCCCUUAUUUGAGCAUUUUCGAAAAUGUUUGGCCCUUAUUUGAACACUUUUAAAAAGGUUUAUCUUUCAUUUGAACACUGUAGUAAAAGUUAAGCCCUUAUACGAUAUUUUGAAAAUUUUAACCUUUUUGUGAGUACCCCUAAAAGAUUGGACCUAAUUUGAACAUUUAAUCUUUAAUACCCAAAAUCAUACGAUAUUGUGUGUAUGUGUCACAUCCCAAAAAUAAGGUUAGAAGAAUCGGAUUUGUGACAACUAAAAGUGGUCACGCCUCGAUUUAUAAGGUUAUCUUUGUGUGUUGUAAAUAAACUGAGGGUUUGAAACGGAUACCGAAAUUAGGGUCAUAAGUAAUUAAUUAAAGUAUUAAAAUGAUAUAAUUAUGUAUUAUUAUAUUAAUUAAUCUAAAACAAAACUUGAUUACAAGGUUUAAUUUGAAAACAGUGUGUUUUAAUUGAGUUAGGAUCUAACUGGAAAAGGGGUAAAAUGAAUUAAAAUAUUAAUAAUGAGACUUGACUAUGAGUAUUAAUUAUUGUAUAUAAACUAAAAUACGAAUGUGUUAAAAACUAUAAAGUUAAAUAAGUUAAUAACAAAAAAUUGAGUAAAUGUAUAAGCUAAUAAAUAAUAGGUAAGUUGAGUCCGAAAUAAAUAUAUACAAUUAAGAAAUAAAAUUAAGUAAGAAAUGAGCCUUAAGUUUGGUGGUUAAGUGCUAUUCCCCGAUCAAGAGGUCCUAAGUUCAAGCUUCUUUCUCUCAUCCCAUCAAGAGAACAAAUAUUAUUUGAGGUAAAAACUAAACAAGAAAUAGACUUAAGUCUAAUGGUUAGCACACUAAUUUCCUUCUCAAUUGACUCUAGUUUCCUUUUUAUUUCGUAAUUUCGCCAAAGAAGAGAUUCGAACCUGGAUCAAUUGGGAAAGAAACUAGCAUAAAUAAAUUAAACAUUUAACUGUUAAUACCCAAAGUCAUAUAUGUGGCUCCACCAUUGUUCGUAGACUUACCAAUUCGGAAAAGAAAAGAAAAAACCCUUAUUUAAGAGUUUCAACUUAGGGUGAGUUUGGAUGGGCGAUAGAGUGCGGUGCGGUGCAUUUAGCCUACUUUUUGACUCACGCUAUAAUAUCACUAUUGUAUCUAAUUUUACCGUCAUCGUUGUUUUUACACUAACUGCAAGUAAAUACACUACCUAUCCAAACCCAUCCUUAGUUAUGACAAUACAAAAAUACAUUAUUUUUACAAAGAAAAAUAUAUUAUUUUGAGAAUAUGUUUACCUUUUAUAUUUUUUUACAUAAAUCUAGAAAUUACAUACGCAUGAUAACCUAAAACAUUGUGAUUUUUAUUAUUUGAACUUUACCAUUUUAACCAAAGUCACAUUUGAUAUUUAUAUCAAUUUUUUAUAAAUAUCUUACAUAAAAUUUUCACCCACGUUGUAAAUAUACUAUAAUCUGAUGUUUAUAAAUUGUUCCAUAUUUAUAAAACUAUGCUAACAAAGUAAAAAAGGACAUGGGUCUCACUUAAUUAUUUUAAUUUUUUUUUAAAAAAAUUUAAGUACAGUUCAAAAGACAAAAUAUGGUUAGUAUGGGCAAAAUGUGAGGUUCUCAAGUUCCAUUAUACGUGGAUAUCAUGUGCAGAUUUUCAAUCUAGAUUUUAUUCUAAUUUAAGUCUCACUACGUACGAAUCUUUUUUUAAAAUUUAUUCCAAACACGUAUAUAUCAAAUAUAAUUAUAAUUUCAUUAAUACAUUAUUAUGAUUAAUUCUCGUUAUAGUUAUACGGGUAUAUUUAUUGUAACUGCCUAAAACUAGCAACCAAACACAAAAUACACCAGAUAAAAAGGAGAGAUGUUUAAGCCCACCCAAUCAACACCACCAAUUCCCACUACAAAUGCUCUUUCAUCUUCAACCACCAAACAUACCUAGAAUUAUGAAGAAACUUACCGAAUCUUCUAAAAUUCAUGUAAAUUUAUUUAAAGCCUUGACAAGGACAUCAUUAGAUGCAAAUAUGUUUGAUGUAUUGUCUUAUCCAAUCUUCUCAGUUGAUUUGGUCUUUGGAAGGGUACCAAAAACUCUGUCCCACAAUGUUGUAGUUAAGCCAAAGACCUUGUUUUGAAUCCUAAAGUGAUGGUUCAAGUGAUAUUUCUGCAUCCAACCAUAAAUAUAAGCCCAUUGUAAAAAAAAAAUUGGUUUUUGGAAUUUAUUAUAGCGUUUGUACCUGGGUUUAGUGUUUCUGACACUGUCUGCACUAGCUACAGAUGUAGCCUGGGAUCUUGGAUUGGAGCAUGAUAUACCUCUAUCUUUCCCAAAAUACCCCAAAGAAGUAGUGGAAUGGUCAUGAUAUUUCUUGAAUUUCUUUGAGGAAGACUGAUAUGACUUUCUGGUAAAUAUUUUACUUGAAGUUCGGGAUUCAAUCACAGUUUGUCUCUUUUCUUUACUCAAUUCUUCAGCUUUAUGUGCUCGGUCAAUCAGUUCAACAAAUUCUUUUAAUUUAAGAAUCCCAACCAAUAACUUUAUGUCUUCAUUUAAAUAUUCUUCAAACCGCUUACACAUUACCAUUUCAAUCGGGACACAUUCUCUAGCAUAUUUGCUUAGUCGAACAAAUUCUCUUUCAUAUUCAGAUACUGUUCUAUUCCCCUGCUUAAGUUCUAAAAAUUCUUUCCUUUUCUGAUCAAGGAAUCUUUGGCUAAUAUACUUCUUUUUGAAUUCGGUUUGGAAAAAUUCCCAAGUAACCUGUUCUUUUAGCACAACAAAAAUUAACGUGUUCCACCAAUGGUAGGUUGAGUCUUUUAACAAAGAUACAACACAUUUUAGACAUUCGGCCGGUGUGCAAGACAGUUCGUCCAAAACCCUGAUAGUAUUUUCUAACCAGAAUUUGGCCCUUUCAAGAUCAUCUUCAGUUGUUGCUAUGAAUCCUUCUGCCCCAUAUUUACGGAUUUUAUCUACAAGAGGCUUACCAGUUUUAACAAGUUCUGUACUUUGUGACAUAUCAGGAAUCGGUUGAGAAAUAGGAGGGGUGGAGGUUGUUGUACAGCCGAGUUUGUUCUUAAAAACUCUGUAAAUCACUCGUUCAUCAUUUAGAAUAAGGUUUCUUUUGCCUCUCCUCCUCGACGCUCAGAUACGGGCCUUCUACUACUAGAUACUGCUCUUUGUACUGAAGCUUGAGCAUUGCUCUCAGCUUCUUCGGAUUCAACUCGGUUGGAUGAAAUUAUUCUAUGAAAAAUAUAUUUAAAAUGGUCAGGAGAUAUCACACUAUCAUAAAUUAUAUAAUGGCAUGUAUAGCUAGACUCGUAUACGUUAUGUUAGCCCGAGAAUCAGCUAAACUGUAGCUCUGAUACCAAUAAAUGUAACACCCCUAACCCAUAUCCUUCGUCGAAACAGGGUUACAGAGCAUUUUUAGAGUUUACAGAACAAAUACAAUUAAUUAAUAUCAUUUACUAUUCAUAUCCGAAAUCAAUCAUAUUGUCCCUUAAAUGGUCUUUCGAGGUCCAAAAUAUACAUUUAAAACAAGUUGGGACUAAACCGGGAACUCAGAGAAUUUUUCGCAAAAUCGUAAAAAAUUUCCAAGGUGUAAGAAACACACGCCCGUGUAGCUAGGUCGUGUGUCUUACACGAUCAAGAGACACGCCUGUGUCUCAGGCCGUGUGGACAUUCGAAAUAGGGACACACAGUCGUGUCCCAGCUCGUGUUAAAAUUAGGGUGGUUACUGACUUGGGUCACACGGUCAAGCCACACACUUGUGUGCUAAGCCGUGUGAACAUUUUAAUUUACAUUAAUUAGGUACAGGGGCCACACGACCAAGUCAUACACUCGUGUGCCAGGUCGUGUGCCACACACAGCUGAGACACACACUCGUGUCUCUGCCUGCGUGAAAAUACUUGAGCAUUCUGUUUUGCAAUUUUAAAGAUGCAGGGGACACACGGCCAAACCACAUACCCGUGCGUAUGGCUGUGUGUCACACACUGCUGAGACACGCGCCCGUGUCUCUACUCGUGUGGACAAAAUAAGGCCAUUUCCAAGCCUUAUUUCUCACCCAAUUGGUCUUCCACUUACAUUAACAUUUUAAUACAUUCACAAUCCAAUUUUUAAUAUACUUACAAGAUUUCCAUCAUUCAACCAUUUCAAGAACAUAUCAAACAUAUUAAGGCCAUAUAUAUACACAUCAAAACAUACUAAAUUACAAGCCAGAUCAAAUGGCUAAUUUCAACCAAACACAUACAUACUAUCCAUGACCACUUUAGCCUAUACAUGCCAUUAUAACCAAAAUGUAUUUACUAUAUAUGCCGAAAUAAGCUGAUGGAUAGUGUGAUGAUAUCUUUGUCAAGCCUCCAACCCAACGAGCUUCUGAAUUACUAUAAAACAGAGGAAAUAGAACAAAGUAAGCAUGUAAUGCUUAGUAAGUUUGUAUAACGGAAAUUAACUUACCAUUUAAUUGCAUUUAAGGUAAAUAUACAUAAUAUAUUCAAAGCAAGUUGGCCAAUAGCCUAUACACAUGUAAGGGCCCAAUUUUGUCUGUGCCUUAAACAGAAACCAAAAAUAAAAAAAAUAGUUCAUUUACAAAACAUCAGGCCCAAAUUACAAGCCCAAAUUUAAAACCUAUUACCUAAAUUACAAAGCCCAAAAAUUCAAAAAACCCUAACAGCCCAAAUGUCCCAAACACCUAAACUAUUCAGUGUACAGAAACCCUAACCCUAGCCUUUUACGCCGCACCCUACCUAGCCGCCGCUGCUCCUUCCCAUGUCAGUACCACACCAACUCGUCUGCCACCGUCAUUAACCACCACCUGCAAAAAACAGCAAAGAACAUGCAAGGAACAGUAGAGAAAAAAUAAAAAAUGUAACGAACAGUGAAACAUAUGGGUAUAAAAGCCAUAACCAGAUCGUAAAGUUUUUUUUACUGAGAAAUAUACCAAAAAAAACAAUAUACAAAAAAGCAGAGAGUUUGAAAUAGAUUCAAAUAUCAAAAGGUGCUGUUUUUUAUUUUUAUUUUUUUGAAAUAGAUAAAUAAAAAAUAAUAAAAACUUACCUAUCAAUUUGUCUCCCCUCGCCAUCGAACAUUGCUGGUGUCUAAUGAGGCCAUUUUUUAUUCUCACGUAUUAUUUUCUUUUCUUGAUUUCUAAACCAAAAAUCUGAUUUAAAAGUUUUAAAAAUGGGAGGGCUGAAAAGGCCCAUUUUUGUGUAGCUCCGGCUACCGGCCACGGCGGAGUUGCGGCAGAGGCUCGCCGGUCUCCAUGGCCAAAUUUUGGGAUACCCAGAAAGAAAAGAAAGGAAGAAUUUUUUUUAAAGUUAUUCAAAUGAUUUUUUGUUCUGUUUUUAUUAUUUAUAAUAGGACAAAUACGACGUCGUUUUGAGCCUAAGCUUCAGGCGCUAAAACGGCAUCAUUUUAACAUUAACUCGUGACCCGACUCGAUAGCAUUUAAGAUCCUCGUGUUUUUAAACAAAAUGGUCUAUUUUCUUUAUGGGUCCUUCCGCUUUUGGACUCCUUUUCAAUCUGGUCCUAUCUGUUUUAUAUAUUUAAAAUUUUUCCACAUAAUUUUAUUUUUGUUUCAUUUUGGUCCAUAUUGAAACGACGCACUCUAAGGACUGGGAAUAAUUUCCCAUCUAAUCCCUGUACCUUUGCGCGCAUUUUACUUUGGACCAUCCUUCUGCCUUUUCUUUUUUUUUACAAUCUAUCCCUAAAAUUCGUUUAAAUGGCGACUUAAUCCUUGGUUAUUUAAUUUCAACCCUUGAUAUAUUUUUUAUAUAUGUUUUGUUUAUUUAUUUAUCUAUUUAUUAUCUUAUAUUCUUUAUAUAUAUAUUAAAAAUUAUAAUGUUUAUAUUUUCUUUAUUUAAAUACUUGUUGUUCGUAUUAUUUUAUCCUUACUACUAUUAUUUAUUUAUUAAUCCAUUUAUAUUAUUAUUAUAUUUUGUAUAUGUUUAAAGUGAGAUUAUUACAUUUUUCUACUUGCACAUUUUUACUUAUUUAUUAUUGUUACUAUAUUACUUUUUUUAUCUCGUUUUUACUAUUUUGUCAUUUCUUUUAGCAUCCUCGCAUUAUUUAUGGUUAUAUUCGUCAUGAGGCAUCUAACAUUUUAUUUCUUUUGUUCGUAUUACUUUAUUUAUUUUAUUAGUAAUGACACGAAUUAAUAUCCUUAUUAUGGUUAUAAUUAUAUUAUUAGUAUUAUAGUAUUAUUUUAUUUACCCAUUGUUUAUCGUCUUACCCAAACAAGCUUUUAAAUUAUUUCAUUAUCAUUAUAUCAUACAUUAGGCUUAAAUAUUUAUUCAUUUAUAUAUAUGCCCGAAUAAGUUAAAAUGCCCAUCUCUGUAAGCAUCAUGUUCGUUUUUUUGCACAAUGAAUAAAAAGAAAAUUUUAAAUCAAAACGACGUUCAUUAUUUUUGGAAUUAGAAAAGUCGUGUUCCUAACUUACGGAAUAUGUAUUCUUUCUAAAACCGACAUAAUCGAAUAUAUUUUAAAAUAAAUAAAAUUUUUAACGUUUAUUCUCGUUUUCGGGGAUUUAAGGCAUUGUGUCCUAACUUACGGGACGUGAUCCUUUUUCUCGAUUAACUUGAAACAAACCCCUUUUCGUGCAAAUGAACUUAGUUAAGUAAUGUUUUAAUAAAAGAUCAUAUUUUAAAAUCUCUUCAAAAUUUCAAUUUUUAACACUAAAGACACCAAAUAAUCAACUAGGUACCAAUUUUGGGUGUAACGAGGGUGCUAAUCGUUCCUCGUGCGUAACCGACUCCUGAACUCAUUUUCUGGAUUUUUUGUAGACUGAAAAACAUUGUUUUAAUAAAUCAAACAUCUUGUUAAAACGAUCAAAUUACGAGGUGACCCGAUCACGCCUCAUAAAAGAAUGAUUGGUGGCGACUCCAUUUUUGUUUUUAAAUAAAAAGUCAAUUUCGAAAAAGGGUCUCGACACACAUAUCCUCAUAAAAAUGUUAGUCAUUUAUUUCACUUGAAUAUCAAUAAACAAGUAUGACUUAUCAUUAAUCAAGUUUCCUUAUUCAUGUACCUUCCAUAUCAUGUAUUCAAACUUCAUAUACAAGUCAUGUUCAUGUAGUCAAAUAUAUGUCCAUAAUCUUUUAUCACAAAUUCAUAUUGUUAUUUAUCAUAACUUUACUCGUUGAACCACUUAUAAUAUCGAUGGAUACAUGGUUAGCACACACAAAGUGUACAUACUAUAUUCCGUCAAUUCAUAUUCAGGAAUGCUCAUUGAGCAUUUAAACGGGAAGCUCUUCCAAUCCAAAUAACAGAAAGCUCAGGUGAGCUUGUAACGGGAAAGCUUAUCCGAGCUUAAUAACAAGAAACUCACAAGAGCUUAAAUCAGAAAGCUCAUGCGAGCUUAACGGGUAACUCUGAAAAGCUAUUAUCAGGAAGCUCAUGAAAGAGCUUUUAAUCGGGAAGCUCCGGAUAGCCAUAUAUCAGGACACUCACAAGAGCUGCGGUGUGUCCGCAACAUAUGCAAGAUCACUACCGAUCAAAAUGCUCAUAGGAGCAUAUAAACGGGAAGCUUGGAAGAACCAUAUAUCGGAAAGCUCAAGAGAGCUUAUAUCGGGAUGCUCAUGCGAGUUAUAGCGGGACGCUCUUGCGAGCUAUGGUGUGUUCGCAACAUAUGCAGAACCACAACCACUUCAGGAACCCUAUAUCCAUCUAAUUUCAUUUGUUCAAAUGGGAUUUAUUUCUAGUUGGACAUUAUCGGAUAUGUGAUUUAUUUUCAUACUUAACAAUUAUACAAAUUACAUACAUAUAAAUCAAGCAUAUCGCAUAAAUAUACAAUUUAGUUACACGAACUUACCUCGACAAUGUUGGUGUUUGUAGGGUACUAAUCCGAUACUUUUUGUUUUCCUCGAUCCAAUUCCGUACUAGGUCUAUCCGGAUCUAUAUGAGUAAAUUUAACUCAAUUUAAUAAAAUUCACAUUCAAUUCACAUCUUAGGAAAAAUUAUCAUUUUGCCCAUAUACUUUUAAUUAAUUUUGAUUUCAUCCCUAGGCUCGAAAAAUGAAAUUCAUGCAAUUUAAUCCUUAUUCCAAGCCUAGUCGAUUUUUACAUAUCACAAUAUCAACCCAUGUAUUUCACAAAAAUCAUAAUUAUUCCAUAAAUUUCACAUCUUUACAAUUUAGUCCCUAAAACACAAUUUCAUCAAAAUUCACUUUAUAAAAGUUGUUUACCUAUCAAAAACCUUCCAUUUUCUACCAUAAAUUUCAUAAUUCAUACUAAUCCAUGGAAAAACCCUAGUACUUUGAUAACUUUACAAAUUAAUUCCCAAGAUAGCUAAAUUAAGCUAUUACGAUAUGGGAAACAUAAAAAUUACUAAAAAUGGGACAAGAAUACUUACCCAAUUAAGCCAAAUAAGCUUGCUUGUACUCUUUUCUCUUAGCUAGAGUUUCUAUGUUUUAUUUGGGAAAGAUGAUGAUAAAUGAUGAUAUUUUUAUUAUUUUAUCAUUUAUCAUCUUUUAUUAUUUCACUUUCCAAUUUCAUCCUUUUCGUUAAUUAAUUUUCCAUUGAUGACUAAUCAUACUUAUCUACUAACUCCUCUUAAUGGUCUAAUUUCUAUAUAAUGACCUCAAAUUUUGAAUUCCAUAGCUAUUUGAUCCAUUUAACUACUAGAACUCAACUUUUACAUUUUAUGCAAUUUAGUCCUUUUUAUUGGAUUAGACAUAAAAUCAGUAAAAUUUCUUUACGAAAUUUGCAUUUUGACAUUUCUAUCAUAAUGCAGAGCAUGAUAUAAUAUUAAAAUAAAAUUUCUUCCAGACUCAAAUUUGUGGUCCCGAAACCACUGUUCUAAUUUCACUGAAAACGGGUUGUUACAGUCAAUAACAUGUAAAGAAUUACACAAAAAAGUACUAAUUUUUUAAAAUUGGUUGCACAAAAAUUAAAAAAAGUAUUAACUUAUUGAAAAAAAAAACAAAAUGAUAAAAAUUUGUAAAAGAAGAUAUUAGAUACAGACGAGUAUAUAAUAAUGCUUUGUUAUCUUUAAAAUUUAAUGUCGUGGCACUAUUUUAUUGGUGCAUAAAAACUAUUAUUUUUAGGAUGAUCUUAAUAUAAUUUAUUCCCUUAAAAAUAUUAGAGAUUAAUCUUAAAUAUUAUAAUUUUCAAUAUUAUUAAAUAUACAUAUUUUUAUUUUAAUAAAAGUAUUUAAUAUUAUAAUUUUAUUUCAUUAAUAAAAUUUAACAUUGAUAAUAAUUUCAAGUUCUAAUUAAUAUUUUUAAUAUUUUAUUACAAAAAAUUAUAUUAAUCUUUUAAUAAUAUAUUAAAUUUAUAAAUAUUUAGUAAUAAAUAUUUUAUAAUAUAAAACAUAAAUAUUUUAAUAAUACGAAUAUGAUCUUACUUAAAAUUUCAUUUCCCUUCCUACUAUAGUGUUUUACUAUGAUCUUGCUAUAGUAUUUGUUUCUAGGUUCUAUAGGUUAAUAGACAAACCCAUUUCCUGUUGGUUUCUACUGGCCCAAAUACGUUUGUUGGACAAAGUCUGGUUGUUAAUAUAGGGCUUUUUUCAUUUGUGGUGUUUUCUUCCUGCUCUUACUCGUUGACAUUUUUUUUAUUUUCAACAUCGGAGUUUUUUUUAAUCAUGGUGAAUCCUUCUGAAUCGAUUAUUGAUUUUAAUCAUCCCUUUUACCUGCAUCCAUCCGAUACUCCAGGUACCUUGUUGGUGUCUCACCAGUUGCUUGGAGUUGAGAAUUAUAAUGUUUGGAUCUGGACCAUGAAAAUCGCGUUGUCAGCCAAAAACAACUUGGGGUUUGUAGACGGUACUUGUUCUAAGGAUUCAUUACCAGAUGAGAUGGGCUAUCAAUGGGAGCGGUGUAAUGCCAUUGUCUUGUCUUGGAUUUUGAAUAUAGUUAGCAGAGAGCUCUCAGUAGGGAUUAUUUUUGCAUCUAGCACAGCAGCGGUGAGGAACGAUCAUGGUGAAUGGUUCCACAAGGUUGAUGGUUCUAGAUUAUUUUUUGCAUCAUGAAAUCACCUUCAUCUUCAAGGUACUGCUUCCAUCUUUGUGUAUUUUACUAAAUUACGAUUGUUCUAAGAUGAAUACGAUGCUCUUGUGCCCUUUUCUUCAUGUGGAUUUGUUCAGUUACAGCAAAAUGUUAAGCAUGUUUUGCAGCAGCAUCUAUUCCAAUUUCUAAUGGGAUUGAAUGAAACAUAUAAUGCGAUGCGUAGUCAAAUCUUGUUAAUGAACCCAUUACCAUCUGUCAAUCAAACGUACUCUAUGCUCGUGUAAGAGGAAUCAUAGAUGCAACAUAGUUCUAGUGUUGUUGGGUUCAAUCCAGUCUCUUUUCACUCAGCACACAUGGUACAAAAGAAACGUUUUACUGGAACUUGUGAUCAUUGCAAGAUUAAAGGGCAUAAAAGGGAAAGUUGCUAUAGGAUAAUUGGUUGCCCUGCAGAUUUUAAGUUCACUAAGAAGAAGGCAAACAAUGUUUUUGGAUCCGUAGUGAACAAUGUUUCUGUUAAUGAUAUUGUAAGUGGAAAUGAAAUGACUAGUGAUGUUGGUGUAUCUAGUCCACAAGCACAUGUGUUUACUCAAGCAUAAUAUCAGCUAAUCUUGAGUUUGUUGAACAAUGAGCCUAUAGUUGAAGCUACUGUAAGCCUAGCAGGUAUGGUUGAUGUAGGUCAAAAUUGGAUUAUGGAUACUGGAGUUACUGACCACAGCCUCUAUGAUUUCCAAUUCUUAGAAUCUCCUGUUGCAUGUGCAUCGCAUUCACAUUGUGUUCGAAUCCCAAAUGGCUAUUUUGUUUCAAUUACUCAUGUUGGCACCUGUACUGUUCAACCUAAUCUUCAUCUUACCAAAGUUCUCUAUGUUCCCAAUUUCCAUUAUAACCUUCUUUCUAUUUCUAAACUUACUAAUGAUCUUAAUUGCGUUGUUUCGUUUUGUCCUUAUUUUUUUGCCUCAUACAGUAUCUCUUAAGUGGAAAGAUGAGGGGGAUUGGUAGGGAGCGAGGUGGUCUUUACAUCCUAGAACCUUCUGGAUAGACUAGUGUAGCUGUGACUCCGUCUGUUGUAUCUGUUACAUCCAUUGAACCAUCAUUUUUUUGGCAUACUAGACUUGGCCAUGCUUCUGUUUCAAGAUUGAAUAAGGUGCUUAAUCUUCCCUGCACAAUUUUGAAUAGUGAUAGCAUACAACAAUGUCCUAUGUGUCCUCUUGCUAAACAAACUAGACUUCUAUUUCCCACAAGUACAUCUUGUGUCGAUACUAUUUUUUCUCUUAUUCAUAUAGAUUUGUUGGGGCCCUAUCGAGUUUCUACUCAUAGUGGCUAUAGGUAUUUUUUAACCAUUGUUGACGAUUACUCAAGAAUGACAUAAGUGUAUUUGUUAUGAUAUAAAAGUGAUGCUCUUGUAUAUCUCAAACAGUUCUUUGCCUUGGUUAAGAAUCAAUUUUCCACUAGCAUCAAAUUCGUUCGUAAUGAUAAUGGGUAUGAAUAUUUUAAGACUAAGUGCAACGAAUUUUUUAAUAUGUUAGGCGUUGUACAUCAAAGCUCGUGUGUUCACACUCCUCAGCAAAAUGGAGUUGCUGAGCGUAAACAUAGACAUUUGCUUGACAUUGCUAGGUCUCUCGAAUUUCAGUCUCAUAUGCCUAGUAAAUUUUGGGGUGAGUGUGUAUUAACUAUAUAUUUUUUUGAUAAAUCAACUACCUACUCCUCUCUUGCAUUAGAAGAGUGUUUUUGAACUUUUAUAGCGUAAACCUCCUUAUCUUUCUCGUAUAAAAGUGUUUGGAUGUCUUUGUUAUACUACCACACCCAAUUAUCAUGAUAAAUUUUCUCCUAAGGCUAUUCCUUCUGUGUUUAUGGGACAUUCUACUGUUCAGAAAGGUUACUUGUUAUUCAAUCUUGAAACCAAAAUUUUUUUUUGUUAAUUGCGAUGUUGUAUUUCAUGAGACCAUGUUUCCUUUUGUCUUUCCCACAAAACAUUUUUUUUUAUUUUUUCCUAUAGCUGAUAGCUCUACUUUUCAUAAUCUGGAGCAUUUGUCUUCCAUUCCUAUCCUUUUACGAUCACCUAUUUUGCCAAAAACUUCUUCUUCCCAAACCUUACCAACUGAUACUACUUUACCUACUUAAUUUUGCAUCCUUCCUGAACCAAUUUUUUUCCCAUCAAACCCCUUACGACGCACCACACUGUCUGUCAAGCCACCUGCCUGGAUGAGAGAUUAUGCCUGUUCCAACCAAUCUUUCGCUUCCCUUACUACAAGUUCAUAUCCUAUUUCUCAUGUUUAUUCCUCGUUGCAUUUACCUGUUCACAUCCAAUUGUUUGCAACCUAUAUUUCUUCCCUGACUAAACCCCAAACAUAUGCUGAGGCCAUCUCGGAUCCAAGAUGGGUCUAUGCUAUGCAACAAGAAAUUCGAGCUUUAGAAGACAAUGGUACGUGGGAGGUCAUUUCUUUACCUGCUAGUGUUGUUCCUAUUAGGUGCAAAUGGGUCUAUAAGAUCAAGUAUAACUCUGAUGGCUCUGUUGAACGGUUUAAAUCCCAAGUGGUAGGGAAAGGAUACAAUUAGCAGGCUGGUAUUGAUUUUCAGGAGACUUUUUCCCCUGUGGUUAAGCAUGUCACUGUUCGGACUAUUGUUAGUAUGGUUGCCAUGAAUGACUGGCCCUUUUUUCCAAAUGGAUGUUUACAAUGCUUUCAUGCAAGGAGAUUUGUGUGAAGAGGUUUAUAUGAUCAUUCCAGAUGGUUUUCACAACAGGGGGAGCACAAAGUGUGUCGUCUGCUCAAAUCAUUGUACGAUUUGAAACAAGCUUCUCGGCAAUGGAAUUUAAAGCUUACUAAGGCAUUGUUGCAAGGAGGUUACACACAAAGCAAAUAUAACUAUUCCUUGUUUUCCAAAAGAGAAGGGGGUAACAUAGUCAUCCUACUUGUUUAUAUUAAUGAUAUGCUAAUCACAGGAAGUGACAUUGGUAUAAUAAAUGAGCUUAAAAAGGUCUUGCACCAAAAUUUUAAUAUGAAAGACUUGUAACAACCCGAUUUUGGGCCUAAUCGGAACAGUGGUUUUGAGAUCACAAAUCUGACGAGGAAAAUUUUAUUUUAUUAUAUUUUUAUGGUCUACAAUUUCACAGAAUAAUUUUGUGAAAAUUUCAUUCGAAAAUUUCGACAUUUGAGCACUCAAUUUAGUAAAAAGGACUAAAUUGUAAAAAGUGCAAAAAUUGAGUUCUACAUGUUAGAACUGUACAAUUGUUAUGAAAUUUUAAAUUGGAGAUCCUUAUAUGGUAAUUAGACCAUUGGUUAAGUUGGUGGACAAAAAUGGACAUGGUUAGGCAUGUUUCCAAAGUUUUUCAUUAAGGGUAUUUUAGUCAUUUAGUAAUUAAAAUGAAUUAAAAAGAAAAUUAAAAUCCAAUUUUUGUCCAUAUUUAAGCUAGGGGCCGAAAUUUUCAUGGAGAAACCAUGGCUAGGGUUUUUCAAGCUUCCAAGCUCGAAUGUAAGUUCGUUCUAGCCCCGUUUUUAAUGAUUUUCACGUUUUUGAAAUCCUUGUAACAUGCUUUAUUUAUUCCUACCAUUUAUUUGAGAUAUGAUGAAGGUCUAGGUUUUGAACCAUGUUAGAAAUUUGUGUAUUUUGAUGGUUAAUGGUAGAUUAUGCAUGUUUAUGGUUAGAGAAACAACUUUUACUAAGUGAUUUUCGGUGAAAAUGCAUUAAAGGACUAGUUUGUAAAAAGAUUGUAAAAUGUGUAUAAGUGUGUGAAUAAGUGAAAAUUGUGGACUGCUAUAGUUAUGAAAAUGGUUCGGCUAGGCCUAAAAUGCAAGGAAAUUUAAUAAAAAUUAUUUUACGAGUCUAGGGGCAAAAUUGUAAUUUUGUGAAAUUUUAGGGGAAAAAUUUAAUUUUGCCAAAGUAUGAUUUUUGGACUAAAUUGAAUAAUGUGAGUGUUAAGUAAGUUUGUAUGUGAAUAAUGCAUUGUUUUAACUUUAUUUAAUAUAUUGUUGAGAUAUGAUUGAAUAUAGAAUAAAUAUUUGACGUAGAUUACAAAAAUGUGGUUAAAUUUGAAAAAGUUGGUAAAAUAUUGUAAAAUAAGGUUCCCGAUUAAACACUCGAAUUAGACCAAGAUUCAUUGAAUGUAAGGGGUUGUUAAGUGCAGAUUCCUCGAAUCACUAAUCAAAAAGGGGUUGCUAAGUGCAGAUUCCCCGAAUCACUGAUCGAAAAGGGGUUGCUAAGUGCAAAUUCCCCGAAUCAUUGAUCGAAAAAGGGUUGCUAAGUGCAAAUUCCCCAAAUCAUUGAUCGAAAAGGGGUUGCUAAGUGCAGAUUCCCCGAAUCACUGAUCAAAAAGGGGUUGCUAAGUGCAGAUUCCCCGAGGGGUUGCUAAGUGCUAAUUCCCCGAAUUAUUGAUUCUAAAGGUGGUUGCUAAGUGCUGAUUCAACCGUAUCCUUGAUUGUGAAAGGGGUUGCUAUGUGCUGAUUCCCCGUAUAACUGAAUAUAAGGUGGUUGCUAAGUGCUGAUUUCACCGAGUAACGGUUAAUAUUUCGAAGUGUUCAUCAGGGAAAUUGGACAAGUGAAAGUACAUGUGAAAUGAAUAAGAUUACGUGAUGAAUACUGAGUUCUAUAUUUAAUCAACCCUUGAGUAAGAUGAUAUGAAGAAAUGAAACUAUUAAAGAGUAAAUUUAGAAAUAAAAUAGUUUUGAACAACAGUAGUUGUGUGACUUUGAAAAAUCACCAAAAAUGGUUGAAAUUGAAUUAGAGGUUGAAUAAUAUAUGCAAUUAAAGCUGAAUGAGCCUAUUUUCACAUAAAAGAGACAGAGAAAACAAAAGAGUUUUAUAUUAUGAGAUAUUUGAAUUUUAGUGAGACAGGGCCAGAAUGAUUUUGAAAUCCCCUGUUCUAACUUUGGAAAAUCAUUAACAAUUGUAAAAAAAUAAUUAUGGGCUAAAAUUUAUAUGUUUAGAAUACUGAAUGAGUCUAUUUUCAAAAGAAACAAACGAGAACAUUAUCCAAAUUCUUUACAAUGAGAUAAUUAAUUUUUAGUGAAGAGGGGUUGGAACUGUCAAGUAGUGAAAUAGGGGAAACUUUAAAGAAUAAAUUGUACUUAUUAGCUAAGCCAAAAAUUCUGAAAAUUUUAUGGAAAAAAAGAUAUAUGAGUCUAGUUUUGGGAAAAAUUAACAUAUCUUAAUUUGGAGCUCUGUAGCUCGAGAUAUAAAUAAAUUAGUGACUCUGACUCAGACAGACAGCUUGAAUUUACAUACAGGAAAAUUGUGAAAGUAUGGAUAAUGUUGUUUAAGUGUGUUAUACACAUUAAGGAUGUGGAAUGGAGAGGAGGAGGAGGAAAAUUGGAAAAUAUAUGAAUUAUUUGUGUAUAAUUAGUCAUAUGUUCGGUUAUAAUUGAUAAACGAUGAAAUAGAAAUGACAUUUAUAUUUGUGCAAUUAUUGGUCAUGGUUUAAGCUCAUGUGGGAAAAUAAAGUUUCAUAGUGUGUGUGUAUGGUAUAUUGGGUAUAUGAUUUGACAUGAAGUAAUGUUAUGAAUGUUUUAUGAAUUAACUCAUGUUGGUAAGUUUGAUACAUGAACAAAUAUUGUGCUCAUCAUUGCUUAUAAUGCUUAUGCUAUAUGUUUAUUUGGCUAACAUAUUUGGAUAUAUGCUUAGGCUUUGGCCAAUUUGUGGCUGGAUUAUGCCACGUUAAACUUAUAAGUUAUGCAUUGAAAUGGUAAGUGCCUAAAUGAAAAUAUGUGUGUGAUCAAGAAAGGGGUGAUAAGAUUCAAAUUAUGUAAUCUCUAGUGAAAUAGUUUAUCAUGUGGUUAGUUCCAAAAAGAAUUAUGUUUAAAUACACUAGCUUGCGACUAUGGUUGAAUGAUAUGUUUAUGUCUUGUGUGAUAUGCAUAGGAAACGGGUAUAGAAAGGUAAUGAAAUAGUAAGUUCAUACUUGAAGUGUAAAAUAACGAAAAAGGGGAUAAUGAGUUGAAUUGAUGUUAUUUAAGCUAAAGUGAUAUUUUCAUUGCAAAAUUGAGAAUUUCAUAGAUGUGUUAAUGAAUGGUAUAAUCGAUAAACAUUGAGUUAAAUGGUAAAUACGUAUUAGUAUUGAUCUUAAUGAUAUUGAAUUGUAAGUGAAUUAAAAGGAAAUUGCUAGUGAUAUGAUUUGAAUUGUAAGCAUGAGAAAUUGUGAAAUGAAUGAAAAGGAAAUGAAGCAUUGAAUUGCAUGAGUAUGUAUCGGGUCUAGUAGUCCCUAUUUAUUAUGAAUAUAAUAUUUUGAGGAUAUAUAGUGAAGAACUAUAAAAGUAUGUUAAUAAUUUGAAAUUUUUAAUUUAGAUGAAAUUUUAUAACUAGGUUCAAUACGUUUACAAGUGUAUGUGUUCUGGUAAUGCCUCGUACCCUAUUCCGAUGUCAAAUACGGGUAAGGGGUGUUACAAGACUUGGGUGCAUUGAAAUAUUUUCUUGGAAUAGAGGUUUUGAGAUUAAGUGGAGGAAUUGUGUUGAAUCAAAGGAAAUAUGCGUUGGAGUUGAUAGCUGAUGUUGGGUUAGGAGAAGCAAAACCAGUGAGUACGCCCUUUGAACAAAAUCAGAAACUCACUUCGAUUGAGUAUGAUGAAUCUGUACAUAUGAGGGUUGAUGGCGAUGAAUUGAUUACUGAUGUUGCAGUAUAUUAACGACUUCUAGGAAGGUUGCUAUAUUUGACCAAUACACAACCAGACAUAUCGUUUGCAGUCCAACACUUAAGCUAGUUCAUGCACAAACCAAAAAAAUCUCAUUGGAGGCUGUUUUCUGGGUGGUUCGAUAUAUAAAAAAAAUCCUGGUCAAGGUAUCCUGUUGGCUGCAUCUAGUAAACCACAACUUAUUGCAUUUUGUGAUUUUGAUUGGGCUUCAUGUCCCAUGUCCAGACGAUCCGUCACUGGUUUUUGUGUUAAGCUUGGAGAUUCUCUCGUUUCAUGGAAAUAAAAAAAAUAAACUAUUGUUUCUCGAUCGUUAGUAGUGGCUGAAUAUAGAAGCAUGGUAGCAGUAGUAACAGAGGUUAUUUGGUUGGAUGGCUUGUUGAAAGAAGUCUGCCUUAGUUAGCUUGACAAGUCUUUACUUUUUUCAGAUAGUCGGGCAGCAUUACAGAUUGCAACAAAUCAUAUCUUUUAUGAACGCACUAAACAUAUAGAAAUUGAUUGUCAUUUUGUACGAGAUAAAAUUGGAGAAGGUUUGAUUCAAAUGUAACAUAUUGGGACAACUGAACAGCUUGCAAAUUUGAUGACUAAAGCUUUUGGAAUCAAGCAGCAUGAAUAUUUGGUGUCUAAGUUGGGAGUUAAAGAUUUUUAUCACCCCUCAACUAGAAGGAAAGUGUUGAGAAGAAAGUAGACAGUUAGCUGAGUAAUUAGACUCAGAUAGUAUAAUUAGUUUGUUAGUCAGUUAGCAGGCAGUUUAUAAAACUAAUGAGUUUCUUACUUAAUAUACUAUUAGUUUUUUCCAUUCAUCAAUAAAUUCUUGGUAGCUUUUCAACACAAUCAUCAUUCUGACUCAUCGUUCCAAGUGACAUUAAAUGAUUUGUUCUUUGCAGGCUUUUACUAAAAGUGCCAAAAGCAUUCAUAUUUAUGGCAUUUAUUUCCUUUUUCGUUUCGUCGGAAUUUGUGUCAUUGAAAGCAACUCUCCUUCUGCCUUUGCUAUUAUUGCUUUUUAAAGCUCAUUACUAAGAGAGCAAGUUGUUCUUAUAACUCUCCUACUGUCAUAGUUGUGUCAUUUGUGGUGCCUUUGGAGGUAUCAACUCCAACUUUCACACUUAGAGCUAUAUUAUUGCCUUGCUUAACUCUAUCUUUCUGUUCAUUUCAAAUCUCCAUAAUGAACCAAUUAGUUCGUUAAUGCUAUUACCUUCUUCAACAGCGGCCACAUUAGUCCCAAACUUUUCUCGAAAACGAAUAUUUUACGUGAAAAACUCUUAUUAAGAAAAUUACGAGCAGAGAAAGAAAAUUUCACUAAUGUUAAAAAAUAAUAAUACUAGAACUACCCAUAGCUCCUCCUCAACCCAUAAAGAGGAGGAUAGUGCACUUCAGUGCACUCAAACCCAUGUCCUCCUACAUUGACAACAAUAUCCAUGCCAAUCGAGUUAAGACUCAAUCUGCAUUUUGAAUAUUUUUAAAAUAGGAGGAUAUUUUUUAAAAUUUUAAAUAUUUUUUGGAUUUUUAUAAUUUUUUUAAAAUAAUUUUUUUACUUUUUUUGAAUUUUUUAAAAUUAAUUAAUUGCUCAUGUGACAUACACGUGGAUUGCAGUUGAUAACUUUUCCUUCCAUUUUGAGAUAAUUUAACAAAAACACAAAUUCAAGACUUAAAAAGACAAUUUAAAUAAAGAGCUAAAAUAAUUUUUUUUAAAAGUUGGAGGACCAAAUAAAUCAUUAUACCUUUUUUCUUUUAUAAAAUGGAGAUAAAUGUUGGAUUUCUAGAAACAUUAACUUAAAAAAAUAGUUUUAAGUACAAAUUAUAAUAAAAAAAAGUUUAGAUACUAAAAUAAAAAAAAAUAUUUAAUUUAAGUACCAAUCAGUAAAUUAAACCAAAAAAUAAAAAGUCACGAGCGGGAAAGUGAUUGUUUUUAUAUCUAUAAUGAUAAUAUAUAAAAUUUGGCGUUAUAUUUAUCUAUGAGAUGUGAUGACAUAAUGCCAUUAUUUUAUAAGAUCCUGUUUCGGCCAUUUAUAUAAAAUGUAUUACAUUAAUAAUUUAUAUUACAUCAAAACUUGAGAUACUGGUGCAUAUGAAAUAUUAAUAAAAAAAUUUACGGAUCAAAUUGCAAAAAGUUGCUAACUUCAGGAACUAAAUCUUGCUAUAUCCCGAGUUACUAUUUUACUAGUUUUCUAACUUUAUAAAAUAAAGUUUAGUAUUUAGUACACUGACUGUGUACUUUUUUUCUUCCACAAGUAAUUUUAAGAUAUUAAUACAAUGUUGAAUUUAAGUUAUAAAAUUUGUUUGGUAUAUUAUUAAUUAUAUUGUUUGAUAAAGCAUAAUAUACUUUUUUUCCUCUCUUUUUUUUUAAAUAUUUAUUUUUUUAACAUUUUAUUAGAUCUUAUAGGGUACUUGUCAACCCGCUAACCCUGCUUGUGAAGUCUAAAAACUUCAAUAAUAAUAUACUAAAUACUUUCUCAUAAAACAAAUUACCAUUGUAAAAUAAAUGUAUUACCAUUUAAUAUUUAAGUAUUUUUCAUUCUAUUAGUAACAAGAAAAAAGAGUUUAAAUUAAUAUUAUAUUAUAAAGUGUUGAAAAAAAUCAAUCAACUGAAAACCCACAAUGGAAACUACUAGUCACUAGAUAGAAUUUUUCAUUAAAUAGCAAUGGCAAAUCCAAGGGGGCUGGCAGAGCCCAUCCCUCAUAAAAUUUAGGCCUUUAAAAUUUUUUGCACCUUAGCUUUCUUAAAAAUAAUAACAUUUUGAUUUAAUUUUUUAAAAAUUAUAAUUUAUUUUAUAAUUUACUUUCGGCCAUUCCUAAAAAAAUUUUCUGGCUUCGCCUCUGUUAAAUAGUGUAGAAAAUGAUAAGUAGAUAGGAUUUACUUAUCACUUAAUAAAGAAUAAAUUCAAUUGUAUUUUAAUUCAUUAAAGAUUAUAUUAUGCUUUAUCAAACAAUAUAAUUAAUAAUAUACCAAACAAAUUUUAUAACUUAAAUUCAACAUUGUAUUUUUCUGUACUUAUUUUUUUCAGCACAUAAUUUUUCAUUUUAUCAAAAUAGCCUAACUCAAACUUUUACUAUGGUUUAAAAUAUUUUAUUGUUAAGACUUAAUCGUCAUAAAUAUUGUUGUCAAUAUAAGAAAAUGUGAGUUUGAGUGCGUUAAAGCAUACUAAUAAACUCUAAUUUUCCAUGUGUUUUAUUGAAGAAACUACACUUUCCGAGAGAAAUAUUAAGAGAAAAAAGGAGCCCUUAUUUCCAUAAGAAAGAAAUUUUAAUUGCAGGAGCAUUAGAAGCUCAUUGGAACUUUACUUACCUACUAAUUAACAAUACGUUACAUAAAAGUUAUCAAUAUGGCUGAGAUUCCCUCUUAUAAAUAUUGCCCUUUCAUCUCUUUCUUUCUAUUCACUUAACAGUUCCUUUCAGUAUCCUGUUUUCCCAGAAAACUUUUCCUGGGUUUGGCUCUUGAUCCAACCCAUAAGUCUUUAGGGUUGGUACUGCUUUUUCAUGUCUCUUUCAUCUAUUUCAAGUUCUGGGUAACUUUCUUUUCUUUUUUUACUGAAUCGUGGGAUUUAAUGUGUUUGUUGACAGUUUCAAAGAUAUGGCUGGAAAGGAGUUCACUGUUAAUCUGAACAAACCCCUUGUCUUCCAGGUUUCUUUUUUUUUUUCUUUUUACAACUUUCGGUUUUGCUUUUCGUAUAUUUUGGUACAAACAUGAUGACAAAGGAAACAUAAGCUAAUAACAUCUUCACAUGUUGAUUAUAAAUUGGUAAUGGCAGGUUGGUCACCUUGGAGAAGCUUACCAGGAAUGGGUUCAUACGCCUAUUGUGACAGAUGAAAGUCCUCGCUUUUUCAAGAGUGAUUUCAUGGAGGUAUUUUUACCAAUCUUUCCCCUUUGAAAUACCAUGGAGUAUCUUGGGAGUUAAAUUGUAUUUUUUUUCUCUCUAAGCAAAUUAAGAGUAAAUUAGUUGUUUUUGUAGACGUACAAGCCAUUUGAUUAUUCUGUCAAUCACACCAGUUUUUAACAAAAAUAAUCAAUUUACUGUUUGAUCUAAUGUAUAAAAAUUAAUUUACUUAACCUUUUUCAGUAAAAAAAGUAAAAUAUAAUUUAUUUUCACACUUUGAAAUACUUUAAUGAUUGCAUUACCCAAAUUCAAUUGGGUUCGAAUUAUUUUGAGUUUGGUCAUAAUUUGUGGUUGAAAUAGAUCCUGACUCGGACAGUGUGGUGGGUAGUACCAUUGAUAUGGGUGCCGGUUGCAAUGUGGUUCAUCUCAGUCUCGUACACAAUGGGUCAUACACUUCCCCAAGUUGUUUUAAUGUCUGUUGUUGGAAGUUUCAUUUGGACAUUCUUGGAAUACUGUUUCCACCGUUUCCUUUUCCACAUUGAAACAAAGAGUUACUGGUUAGUGUUUUCUUUUUCUCUUGGACUUACUUAUAACGCACAUACAUAUUUUAUGAGAGGAUGUAGUAAUUCAUUGACAACAUUGGUGAAGGGCAAACACUUUUCACUAUCUAAUCCAUGGCUGCCACCAUAAGCACCCUAUGGAUGGGCUAAGGCUUGUGAUUCCACCUGCAGAAGCUGCUAUACUAGCUAUAAUGGUAUGUAUAUAUUUAUAUGCAUUACUUUAUUUUUUGUUUUUCAUAUAUGGGUUGAUUAAGAAAAAUUAUUAUUAUUUAGAAAUAUUUACAAAAAAACUUUUAAAAUUUUGUCAAAUAAUAUUUAAAAGCAAUAACAUAAAGUUAAUUUUAUCAAAAUAAGUCUAAAACUCUAAAACUAAAAAUUAAUAUGAAAAAACCAAAAAUGGAACCGAGUGAAUUCAGAAAUUCUAAAAAAUCCAACCGAAUCAUCCCUACAUACAUUGCAUGGGUUUAGGGCUCUCACCUCUAUAAUUAGUAAUUUAAAAUUUUUAAAAAAAAUUCUUAUUGAGUUGGUGUUACGGGUCAACUAGACACCAUCUUUACUGAUAAUUUAUUGAAAUAUUAGUACUGACUACACUGAAUUAGACCAAUGGGGGUAGCAAUUUAAUGAGAGGUAUAAAUUCAGUUGAUUCGUGAACUGGUUGAGUCGAGUUAAAAAAAUCAAUUGAACUAAUUUUUACUAUAUAUUUUUUUAUUUUUACUUAAUUUUUAACAAUUUAUUUACCUUGAAUCUACCUUACAAAAUAUUUUUUUUAUAUAUGCAAAAUAACAAAUACUAAUACAAAGAUAAAUUUUACCAACAAAUAUAAUUUAAAAAUAAUGAAAUUUAAAAACAAGUUGGUCCCAUAUUAAUUAUUUCUAACAAAACAUUGGGAUAAGUAAAGUUUGAUAAAAUAUUAGUUAUUUGAUCUUCACGUGUCAAGUAGUGUUAAAAAAUAUAUAAUAAAAAAUUUAACGGUGAAAUUUAUAUUUCCAACUAAUAAAUGGGAAUACGUGGCCCAAAAUAGUGACCAACUUUUUAAGGGUAAAAAGAGGAAAAAAUUUAAAAGUUUCAAAAAGAUAAUUUAAGUCGCAUUGAUUGAGACUUUUAGGUUAAAAUCUUAGUUGAAUUAUGGUAGUUGAUAAAAUUUGUCAUUAUAUUUAUUUCUUAUUAAUUAUAUAUUAUGUUCCAGGGGUGAAGUUAGAAACAGAAAUUAAAUUGUAAUUUUACUAUUUUAAUAAUUUAUAUCUUUAUAUUUUUAAAAUGAUUAAAUAAAAAAAAAUUAUUUUAGGGGGGCCGGAGGCCUACUAGCUCCCCUAGCUAUGCCCCUGUCAUGUUCUAUGAAGACAACUUAAUUAGCGUGCCAAAUUGAUAAAUUAACAGUAAAUACAAAUAAUGCUAAUCGUUGGGUUGAGAUUAUUAAAUUAGAAAAAUAAGAUUACUUAAUUUUUAAAAUUUUAAAGUAUAUAUAUGAAAUUUCAAAUCUUAAACGAGAUUUAAUGUGUUUGUACCAGUUUUGGAACUUGUAUGGGAUUUUAUUCACUAUCUCCACAAGACCUGCAUUAUUUGGAGGUGGACUAAUUGGAUAUGUGAUAUAUGAUAUGAUACAUUACUAUGUGCACCAUGGCCAGCCUACCAAACAAUCUAUCAAAAAACUUAAGGUAUGAGACUCCUUUUGAAUUGCUAAUUUAUCCUUCCUCAAUCAUUAUCUAUAAAAAUUCAAUUAAAUUAUUGUUUUAGAUUUUUUUUCCCUUAAAUUUGAGGUUUAAUUUUUCACUUGACUUAAUUUAGUUUUUUAUGUUUAUAACGAUAUUAUUUAGUUCAAAUAGUUAGCAUUGUUGAUUAUUCUAGUUAAAAUGUUAAUGUAAUUUUUUUUCUUAAAAAUUCUCCUUUCGAAUUGUUUUUGGUGCUGAAUAGUGUGUUUUUAAGAAAAAUCUACAUUAGUUGGAAUAUAUAAUAAUAUUAACUAUUUGAGCUAACUAAAUAAAAGUAAAGGGAAUAGGGAUUAAAUCCCAAAUUUGAGUAUAAUAAAAGGAUCAAAAAGAGAUUAAUAUAUUAUUUGGUAUUCAAAUUUGGUUUCAAUGUUUAAUUCAGUAUUUGAGUUUAACUUCAAUAUUCAGAUUAGUACUUAAUUUUUUUCCUUUAUCCCAAUUAAGCAUUUAAGUUUGGCUUAAAUGUUCAAUUUGAUAUCCAAAAUUUUCUUUUGGUCCCAAUUACGUACUUAUGUAUUUUUUCACUAGAGCACAUGUGUCAAAUAUUCAUUAGCUGCUGUUUGAUUUUGACAUGAAAACUAAAAUCAGAUACCCAAAAACAGAUUUUAUAAGAGGCUAAACAAAUAGAUGCUUGGUUUGAUUGCAGAAAUAUCACUUGAACCAUCACUUUAGGAUUCAAAACAAGGGCUUUGGCAUAACUACAACAUUGUGGGACAAAGUUUUUGGAACCCUUCCAAAGACCAAAGCAGACACGAAGAGUGGAUAGAUGAUGAUGAUGAGGCUGACAAGCAUCACAUGAUUGCACCCUGUCAUGGCCUUGUCAAUGUUUAAAUAAUGAUUUUGCCCUCUUUACUUUUAUUGUGCUCAAUAAUGGUGGUUGGGAUUGUGAGGGAGGAUCUUAGCUAAGCAACUCACUUCAUGUCUCCUGUUGUACUGUGUUUUCCCUAUAAAUAGAUGAAAUGGA
rnacentral:lncRNA from 1 species